rnacentral:piRNA from 1 species
UAUCCGUCACAUCUAAGAGAGCAGUUGC